AGUGAACGCUGGCGGUAGGCCUAACACAUGCAAGUCGAACGGCAGCACAGUAAGAGCUUGCUCUUACGGGUGGCGAGUGGCGGACGGGUGAGGAAUACAUCGGAAUCUACUUUUUCGUGGGGGAUAACGUAGGGAAACUUACGCUAAUACCGCAUACGACCUACGGGUGAAAGCAGGGGAUCUUCGGACCUUGCGCGAUUGAAUGAGCCGAUGUCGGAUUAGCUAGUUGGCGGGGUAAAGGCCCACCAAGGCGACGAUCCGUAGCUGGUCUGAGAGGAUGAUCAGCCACACUGGAACUGAGACACGGUCCAGACUCCUACGGGAGGCAGCAGUGGGGAAUAUUGGACAAUGGGCGCAAGCCUGAUCCAGCCAUACCGCGUGGGUGAAGAAGGCCUUCGGGUUGUAAAGCCCUUUUGUCGGGAAAGAAAAGCAGCAGGUUAAUACCCCGCUGUUCUGACGGUACCUAAAGAAUAAGCACCGGCUAACUUCGUG
rnacentral:rRNA from 1 species